rnacentral:rRNA from 1 species
UACAGAGGGGGCAAGCGUUAUUCGGAAUUAUUGGGCGUAAAGGGCGCGUAGGCGGCCUGGCAAGUGGAAGGUGAAAUCCCUCGGCUUAACCGAGGAACUGCCUCCCAAACUGCUUGGCUUGAGACCGGGAGAGGUGAGUGGAAUUCCCAGUGUAGCGGUGAAAUGCGUAGAUAUUGGGAGGAACACCAGUGGCGAAGGCGGCUCACUGGACCGGUACUGACGCUGAUGCGCGAAAGCGUGGGGAGCAAACGGG